UCGACGUUAUGCCAAAAUUAAAAGCAGCAGUUGCAGGUGCUAUUUGUUCUAAGAAGAAUGAAUGAAUGAU
rnacentral:SRP_RNA from 1 species